rnacentral:ncRNA from 1 species
CGACAAAGGCAAAAUCGCAGCAAUGUGAUGACGCAAAACUAUAGGGUCUUACUAAGAUAGCCAGUUGCCAA